rnacentral:rRNA from 1 species
UGGGGAAUAUUGGACAAUGGGCGAAAGCCUGAUCCAGCCAUGCCGCGUGUGUGAAGAAGGUCUUCGGAUUGUAAAGCACUUUAAGUUGGGAGGAAGGGCAGUAAGCGAAUACCUUGCUGUUUUGACGUUACCGACAGAAUAAGCACCGGCUAACUCUGUGCCAGCAGCCGCGGUAAUACAGAGGGUGCAAGCGUUAAUCGGAAUUACUGGGCGUAAAGCGCGCGUAGGUGGUUCGUUAAGUUGAAUGUGAAAGCCCCGGGCUCAACCUGGGAACUGCAUCCAAAACUGGCGAGCUAGAGUAGGGCAGAGGGUGGUGGAAUUUCCUGUGUGGCGGUGAAAUGCGUAGAUAUAGGAAGGAACACAAGUGGCGAAGGCGACCACCAGGGCUCAUACUGACACUGUGAUGCGAAAGCGUGGGGAGCAAACAGG